AUUGAACGCUGGCGGCAGGCCUAACACAUGCACGUCGAACGAGUGGCGGACGGGUGAGUAAUGUCUGGGAAACUGCCUGCUCGAGGGGGAUAACUACUGGAAACGGUAGCUAAUACCCCCUACCAUCAUAUGUCCCCCGAUGGGAUUAGCUUGUUGGUGGGGUACCGGCUCACCAGGGCGACGAUCCCUAGCUGGUCUGAGAGGAUGACCAGCCAGACUGGAACUGAGACACGGUCCAGACUCCUACGGGAGGCAGAAGGGGGGAAUAUUGCACAAUGGGCGCAAGCCUGAUGCAGCCAUGCCGCGUGUAGGAAGAAGGCCUUCGGGUUGUAAAGCACUUUCAGCGGGGAGGCGUUACCCGCAGAAGAAGCACCGGCAAACUCCGUGCCAGCAGCCGCGGUAAUAC
rnacentral:rRNA from 1 species